UAGGGAAUCUUCCGCAAUGGGCGAAAGCCUGACGGAGCAACGCCGCGUGAGUGAUGAAGGUCUUCGGAUCGUAAAACUCUGUUAUUAGGGAAGAACAAAUGUGUAAGUAACUAUGCACAUCUUGACGGUACCAUAGAAGAAAGCCCCGGCUAAUUACGUGCCAGCAGCCGCGGUAAUACGUAAGGGGCGAGCGUUGUCCGGAAUUAUUGGGCGUAAAGAGUGCGUAGGCGGCAAAUUAAGUCAGAUGUGAAAACUAAGGGCUCAACCCAUAGAUUGCAUCUGAAACUGAUAUGCUUGAGUCAAGGAGAGGAAAGUGGAAUUCCUAGUGUAGCGGUGGAAUGCGUAGAUAUUAGGAGGAAUACCGGUGGCGAAGGCGACUUUCUGGACUUGAACUGACGCUGAGGCACGAAAGCGUGGGGAGCAAACAGG
rnacentral:rRNA from 1 species